AGCAGCCGCGGUAAUUCCAGCUCCAAUAGCGUAUAUUAAAGUUGUUGCAGUUAAAAAGCUCGUAGUUGAAGUUCGAGACCGGUUUAUUGGUCGUGCUUUUGUACGUACUGGUAUUAUUGGUUUCUCCUUUCUGACGAAUCUUAAUGCCAUUAAUUUGGUGUUUUGGGGAAUCAGGACUGUUACUUUGAAAAAAUUAGAGUGUUUAAAAGCAGGCUCACGCUUGAAUACAUUAGCAUGGAAUAACGGAAUAGGACGUUUGAUUCUAUUUUGUUGGUUUCUAGGAUCGACGUAAUGAUUAAUAGGGAUAGUUGGGGGCAUUAGUAUUCAAUUGUCAGAGGUGAAAUUCUUGGAUUUAUUGAAGACUAACUACUGCGAAAGCAUUUGCCAAGGAUGUUUUCAUUAAUCAAGAACGAAAGUUAGGGGAUCGAAGACGAUCAGAUACCGUCGUAG
rnacentral:rRNA from 1 species